GAUGAACGCCGGCGGUGUGCCUAAUACAUGCAAGUCGAGCGCACUGGCCCAACUGAUAUGACGUGCUUGCACUGAAUUGACGUUGGAUUACCAGUGAGCGGCGGACGGGUGAGUAACACGUGGGCAACCUGCCCUGAAGUGGGGGAUAACAUCUGGAAACAGGUGCUAAUACCGCAUAACAACGAAAACCACAUGGUUUUCGUUUCAAAGAUGGUUUCGGCUAUCACUUCAUGAUGGGCCCGCGGUGCAUUAGCUAGUUGGUAAGGUAACGGCUUACCAAGGCAAUGAUGCAUAGCCGAGUUGAGAGACUGAUCGGCCACAAUGGAACUGAGACACGGUCCAUACUCCUACGGGAGGCAGCAGUAGGGAAUCUUCCACAAUGGGCGCAAGCCUGAUGGAGCAACACCGCGUGAGUGAAGAAGGGUUUCGGCUCGUAAAGCUCUGUUGUUGGAGAAGAACGUGCGUGAGAGUAACUGUUCACGCAGUGACGGUAUC
rnacentral:rRNA from 2 species